UCAGGGAUGAAAAACAGUCAGGCUUUAUUGUUUACUACUUGUUGAGCAACCAGGACAACCAGGAAGGACAGAAUGACCUUUACCAAAUAAGACAGUACAGAAUUAUGUCCAACACAGUUUCUGGCAUAAAAAGAUGCUUAGUAAAGUUCAUCUCUUUCUCUGUUAUGCAGGAGACUUCAAGUUGAUCCAGUCUGUGAUCCAAUCCCAGCUUUUCCCCCUCCUAGCUCUGUGGCCUUACACAAAUUAGAUAACCUCUCUGAGUCUUAAGCUCCACAUCUACACAAAGGGCCAAUCACAUGACUUCAGAGGGCUGUCGUGAGGACUACGCAGUGCCUGGCACAUGAUAAGAAAACAGAAGUUCAAACAGAUUGAGUAACAAAGUGACAUAACCCAAAGUCAAACAGCCAAGACACAGAGGACCCUGGAAUUCAUUAUGAGUCUUCUGAAUAUAAAUGUGGUAUUCUCAGUAAGGCAGGGGAUGGCAUGAAAAAAAUCCUCUGCACUGUUGAUGGCAUGUUUUUUUUUUUUCCCUUUUCCUGGUAGUACUCAUGGAUGUGCAUUGAUUCACCGACAUUCUUUCACCUGUUUCGUGCCCCUUUGAAUGACCAACAGCAUAUAUGGCUCAUAUCAGGCUGGGAUUAGAAGAGCAAACUGCCAUUUGACAUAAUAAAUAAGCUAAGAAGUUCUCGUGAAUUACACAGAGACGAUGAAUAAAAUCUCUAUGUAUAA